UCCAAAAAAUUAAGGAGAACUAUGUACUCAGCUGUCAUACGCAAAAGUACACACCCACCCCAAUAUGAAAAUAACCUUAACAUAACAGAACUAUUCGAACUCACGAUCGCUAAGACACAAACUGGGAUUAGAUACCCCACUAUGCUUAGCCCUAAACCCAGAUAUUUAACACACAAAAAUAUCCGCCAGAGAACUACGAGCAUAACGCUUAAAACUCUAAGGACUUGGCGGUGCCUUAAACCCCCCUAGAGGAGCCUGUUCUAUAAUCGAUAAUCCACGAUCCACCUCACCAUCUCUUGCCAGUACCGCCUAUAUACCGCCGUCACUAGCCUACCCUAUGAAGGAUAUAAAAGUAAGCAAAACAGCCAACAAUAGCUAAUAAGUCAGGUCAAGGUGUAGCUAACUGAGAUGGAAGAAAUGGGCUACAUUUUCUAAACUAGAAAUUAUCUCACGGAAAGAACCAUGAAACAAGUUCUACAAGCAGGAUUUAGCAGUAAACAAGGAUUAGAAUACCCAAUUUAAGCCGGUCCUAAGGCACGCACACACCGCCCGUCACCCUCCUCAAAUCAACAUCACCUAUAAAUAAAACCACAACAAAUAAACAGAUGAGGCAAGUCGUAACAAGGUAAGUAUACCGGAAGGUGUACUUGGAACAUU
rnacentral:rRNA from 1 species